CCUAUAUGCCUUUAAUACAUAAGUAUGCAAGGGAAACGCUUUAGUGCUUAAGGAUGGGUCUGUAUGGUAUCAGCUUGUUGGUGAGGUAAUGGCUCACCAAGGCUAUGACGCCUAACUGGUUUGAGAGGAUGAUCAGUCACACUGGAACUGAGACACGGUCCAGACUCCUACGGGAGGCAGCAGUGGGGAAUAUUGCACAAUGGACGAAAGUCUGAUGCAGCAACGCCGCGUGGAGGAUGACACAUUUCGGUGCGUAAACUCCUUUUAUAUAGGAAGAUAAUGACGGUACUAUAUGAAUAAGCACCGGCUAACUCCGUGCCA
rnacentral:rRNA from 1 species